ACCUGGCGUGGUUCUCGAGGGCCCUAGAGGCUCCUGCUACGGACUGGUCGGCUCUGGGGUUGUAGGCAGAAGGCUCUAAGCGGUCGGAAGGGUUUCCUGUGUGUCAGCAACUUCACUUUGCCGAGAUAGCUGGCGGAAGAGGGAAGGAGCGCUCGCGGGCCAAUCGCCUGCCAGCAGCCACCUUGGAGCGCACCCCUCUCCCUCGCCGCCGACUCCGGUAGCAGCGUGCCGGCAGAGGCUGAACACACUCGGCCUCGGCGGAGACCUGCUCCCCAGAAGACGCCUCCUGCUUCCCACUGCGCCCUGGAGGACGCGGGCUGGCUGCUGGGCGAGCUCGGCGGAGGCACGCCCCUCGCCUCCCCGCGGAGUGCGGACUCGCCCCGGUGCCCAAACUCCGCCCACCCUCUAGGGAGCUCCGCUCUCCCGCCUAACCCCGGCACUCCGGACAGAGCUGGGCCUGGGGAAGGGGUUCCUGAACUACGCGGACGCCGAACGGGACGCGCUGCAGAAGCGCACGAGUCUGCGGCCACGCGCGCUCCGAUGGCUGCCAGGAGCUGAGCUCAGGGUGGGCGGAGGAAGCGGUUAGACGCCCCGAAACUGAGCUGCACGUUUCUAAGAAAGUCAAAGCUCUGCAGUUAAGAAGAAAAAUACACCACUGAAACUUUCAGAUGCCUUGAGACAAGAUUCUUCUUCCAGAAUUCUAGUAUCAUUCCAAGGCUGGACUCUUCAGAAGUGAUUGCCUGCAAAUUUAGGAUGAGAACAAAAUCACAGUUCAAGGAACUACUGGAAGAGAAAGCCACCAGCUUCAUUUGAUCCAGAUUUAAUGCCCCAGGAAGAAGCAUCCACUUAACAGAGGCUUUGUCAUAUACCAUAUACCAUACCACUUUGGCUGGCAAGGAAGUGCUUAAAACGUAGUUGAUUCUCAACCAUUGAAUGAAUGAGUGAAUGAAUUUGUUGAGUUUCUAAUUAUAAAAUAUCUUUUGUUCGAGGCACUUCUAUAUGUCAAGACCAUAUGCUGAAUUUUAUUUUAUUUUCUGACACCUUCAAAGGGCUAAUGAGUCAUAGAUUAUUUUUUUCUGUCUGCAAUUCAGUGAGUCAUUAUAACUAACUCCAUUUUAUUUCAGCCCUUGUUUAUUCCCCUCCAAAAGGGGAAGCUGGAUGAUAUUAUGAGGGGGCAGGCUGGGCACAGUGGUUCACACCUGUAAUCCCAGCACUUUGGAAGGCCGAGGCUUGAGCCCAGGAGUUCAAGAGCACCUUAGGCAACAUGGGGAAACUCUGUCUCUGCAAAACAAUAAAAAAUAAAAAAAUUCGCCAGGCAUGGUGGCAUGCACCUGUAGUCCCAGCUACUCACGAGGCUGAGGUGGGAGGAUUGCUUAAGCCUGGGAGGUAGAGGUUGUUGUGAGCCAGGAUCACAUCACUGCACUCCAGCCUGGGCAGUAGUGAGACUCUGUCUCAAAAAAAAAAAAAAAAAAAAAGGAGGAUGCAGGAUGUAAUUUGUUAACUUACUAAGUCUGAUUUUCAUUUUUCUCUAAAGUCUUGUAAAAUUUUGUUUGAGUAAAAUACACAAGAGGCAGCAGGAGAACAUUAAGAAGAGAGUUCUAGUGUAUUCAGAGGGUUUGAAAUAAAGGUACACAUGAGAAGGAACAGAGAGA
rnacentral:lncRNA from 1 species